UGGGAGAGAAGGGAAAUCAAAGAAAUCAAAGUAAUAUCCUGUUUAGAGGCGAGCCACGGGGGGAGAACUUCCUCAGUGGGAGAUGAGUGCACUUUCCGUGCCCCACGGAGCCUGUGGCUCCCCACGGCAGACCCCUCCCCACUUCUGCUCCCUGACCUUUCCAUCUUCCUCUCUGCUUGUGAGAAAAUUGCAAGAAAAUGUCAGCAGCUCCUGACAAGUUCGGGCCCUCCAGCGCCGGGCUCUGACCAGCAGUGUCCUCUCGGGCUGGCUCCUCCUCCUGCGUCUGCAGAGCUGCUGUUUUGUUGUUGCUGGUUCAUCCUCACUUUCCUCCUGGCAAAGAGCAACUUCCAAACGCUGGAAUGGAAUAUUAGCAGAAAGUCAUGGGCUCAGCAGAGACCGAAUAACCCCAGGCUGCCCUCAUGGAAGAAAGAACGAUACCUCGUAGUAUAUUUCCCUUCCCCUCCCCCUGUUUAAACACAUAAAUACCCGCUGGAUGAUCAAGUCUCCCGUGUUUCUUCCAUUUUUUGAUAGUGCCUCCCAGGCACUUUGUUUUAUGUUUCCAAUAGCACCUCCUGAAAUAAACCAAAGCAACACUUGCUCAAGACCCCUGGGCGAUGGAGAAGACCCUCCACCUCGCUGGCAGUCCCAGGAAUGAACAGCAGCGAGGUCCUAGUCAAAAGUCAACUCUAUGACCUGGGGACUCCAGCAUCCUUCAAGCAAGCCAUUUCUGAAGAAGGUGAAAAGAAGCCACGAUGAUUGGCAGAUGAUUGGCACCUCCUGCUCCUCCUCCUCCUCCUCCCUUGCCCGGCCCCCUCCUGUGCGUGUGUUUCAGCCAACACAGGAGCCUGGAUUGUGGAAAAUCCUCUGGCGCAACUCAGCUCAGCUCAGAGAAGUCUUGGGAAUGGCCUAAGUUUGUGCAAUAAGAAGAUUUUUUUUUUUUUCCUUUUUUGAAAUUCUUCAUUACAUUUUCUUUAAGUGUCUGUGAGAAAGUACCCAGGUCAGACUGGAAUUGCUCUACAAUAGAAAUAACUGAACACAAACAAACUGACAAAAAAAAAAAAAAAGAGUUAACUAUUUUAUUUAUUUCAAUAUUUAAAAGAAAAAAGUGCUGACAUUGCACAGUAUUUUUGUUUAAAGUUCCUUCUACUUCAGAAUUUAAAAGCAAUUUUGUGAAGACGUGAAAUCGAAAGAGUUACCUAAUGUAAAAUAAAGACUGCAUAUUAACUCUAAGGAAAAAUACCCCACAUUUUUAAUAAGAAAAUAAAGAUCAACUCUGCUCUCUCAGGCUUUUACAAAAGCCAUUCAUGUAUGUGCUUUAGGUAUUUUUAUUUCUGCGAGUUGGAUGUGGUAAGUGAGGAGUGAUCAGCUUUUAUUUUCCCUUCUUCAAAAGUCUAUUGACAGUGUUGGUGACGUUAAAUGAUUAUGUGUUAAGACUCGACUGAAAUGAAUUAGUCACAAAUCAGCAGUCUCCCCACCCCUACCCCCAUGGCCCCCUCACCUCAGGCAAGUCCCAUUUGUCUGAAUGUCAGGAAGCAGUCUGCCUCUGGGGUAUCAUGUCCCAUGAGGCCGAGUUCAGAAAGGAAUUCCAUCUAGGGACUGAAUGUAUCUCCUCAAGUUCAACAGACUUGGACACAGACAGCUUUGUUUAAAAUAAUGCAAUGAAGGAAAAAAAAAAAACAGCAAAAAGUAAGCAUCAGCUGAGACACUAUUCAUUCAGUCACCUAACAGCUUCUAGAGGACGCUGGUUAAGGGAGCCUUCUGCUGAGCUGGCUUUGGGGGCUGGGUUCCUAGAGCUGUCCCCAAGGGCUAGGAAGGCCAAUGUGAAUGAUGCAAACCUCAGAUCAGUUGCUGGUGGGGGUCAAGGAGGAAGGAGACUGUUUGAACACGUCCUUUUAUGGCCAUGCUGGUGGAAGUGAGCCUGAAGGCCUGUGAAAUGUAGCUCAGCAUCGAGUCUGUGGCCCAGGGAAGGAGCUGGGUGGACUGGCUAGGCCACCUGCCCCCGGCUCUCCACUGGGCCGGCCUCUUAUUGUCAGAAUCACAAUAGUACAUGUACGAUCAAAUGCUGGAUGUUCCUGUCAGCAAAGUCCUGAGUCAGGGUGUUACUGAGAAUCCCUUUUGCUCUAAGAGGGGAAGGUGGGUGGUCGCAGACUCCCUGCCAGACUUUUCAGGUUUCCCAUUCAAGGCCAAUCCGAGGGUGGGGGGAGGGGGACCCCCAAGACUGUCUUUGUAUCAUUUUUGUAGCCCUUUUCUGUGACGUUUUCUGAUAGAAAACGUCCCUUGUCAAAAUGCUAAUAAUGAUAAUAAUAAUCUGCUCUCCAACCAACUCCCACAAGUUACAACACAUGUAGCAUUGUGAUAAAGCUGUGCAUAAUGUAGGGUUUGUAUCACGUUUGUGUAAGUUUCUGUUUAAUAAAAGUCUGUUUCCAAUGCUC